CGUAGGUCCCGAGCGUUGUCCGGAUUUAUUGGGCGUAAAGCGAGCGCAGGCGGUUUCAUAAGUCUGAAGUUAAAGGCAGUGGCUUAACCAUUGUACGCUUUGGAAACUGUGAGACUUGAGUGCAGAAGGGGAGAGUGGAAUUCCAUGUGUAGCGGUGAAAUGCGUAGAUAUAUGGAGGAACACCGGUGGCGAAAGCGGCUCUCUGGUCUGUAACUGACGCUGAGGCUCGAAAGCGUGGGAGCAAACAGGAUU
rnacentral:rRNA from 1 species